rnacentral:tRNA from 1 species
AGAGGUCGCGUAGUCCGGCCGAGCGCGCCCGCCUGGAGAGCGGGUAGGCCCCUACCGGGGCCUCGCGGGUUCAAAUCCCGCCCUCUCCG